UCCGCUCAAGGCAAUGGAGUUUGCCGUCCCACCUGAAGGCUGGGAAAACCGCGCGAGCUAAUGACUCCUUCCAAACG
rfam:Verrucomicrobia bacterium 13_2_20CM_2_54_15 13_2_20cm_2_scaffold_1464, whole genome shotgun sequence.